AGUGAACGCUGGCGGUAGGCCUAACACAUGCAAGUCGAACGGCAGCACAGUAAGAGCUUGCUCUUACGGGUGGCGAGUGGCGGACGGGUGAGGAAUACAUCGGAAUCUACUUUUUCGUGGGGGAUAACGUAGGGAAACUUACGCUAAUACCGCAUACGACCUACGGGUGAAAGCAGGGGAUCUUCGGACCUUGCGCGAUUGAAUGAGCCGAUGUCGGAUUAGCUAGUUGGCGGGGUAAAGGCCCACCAAGGCGACGAUCCGUAGCUGGUCUGAGAGGAUGAUCAGCCACACUGGAACUGAGACACGGUCCAGACUCCUACGGGAGGCAGCAGUGGGAAUAUUGGACAAUGGGCGCAAGCCUGAUCCAGCCAUACCGCGUGGGUGAAGAAGGCCUUCGGGUUGUAAAGCCCUUUUGUUGGGAAAGAAAAGCAGCAGGUUAAUACCCCGCUGUUCUGACGGUACCCAAAGAAUAGGCACCGGCUAACUUCGUG
rnacentral:rRNA from 1 species